UAGGGAAUCUUCCACAAUGGACGAAAGUCUGAUGGAGCAACGCCGCGUGAGUGAAGAAGGGUUUCGGCUCGUAAAACUCUGUUGUUAAAGAAGAACAUAUCUGAGAGUAACUGUUCAGGUAUUGACGGUAUUUAACCAGAAAGCCCACGGCUAACUACGUGCCAG
rnacentral:rRNA from 1 species